AUUGAACGCUGGCGGCAGGCCUAACACAUGCAAGUCGAGCGGAUGAAGGGAGCUUGCUCCUGGAUUCAGCGGCGGACGGGUGAGUAAUGCCUAUGAAUCUGCCUGGUAGUGGGGGAUAACGUCCGGAAACGGGCGCUAAUACCGCAUACGUCCUGAGGGAGAAAGUGGGGGAUCUUCGGACCUCACGCUAUCAGAUGAGCCUAGGUCGGAUUAGCUAGUUGGUGGGGUAAAGGCCUACCAAGGCGACGAUCCGUAACUGGUCUGAGAGGAUGAUCAGUCACACUGGAACUGAGGCACGGUCCAGACUCCUACGGGAGGCAGCAGUGGGGAAUAUUGGACAAUGGGCGGAAGCCUGAGCCAGCCAUGCCGCGUGUGUGAAGAAGGUCUUCGGAUUGUAAAGCACUUUAAGUUGGGAGGAAGGGCAGUAAGUUAAUACCUUGCUGUUUUGACGUUACCAACAGAAUAAGCACCGGCUAACUUCGUG
rnacentral:rRNA from 1 species